rnacentral:lncRNA from 1 species
AGCAGACGAACAAGAUCUGAGCCAAAAUCUAACGAAGGCCAGGAGUCACGAUAGGCACUGCCGGUGCCUUAACUGGUGCUGAUGGAGCAUCUACAGCUGGAGGCUGGUCGUGGAGCUGGGAAGCUGGUGGGUCUGCAGGUGAUGCCCUUGCUGGUCCGCCUCGUCCAGAGCCAUGACCGCAUCCACGGCCUCAAGCAGAUGGUAUCGGUGGUCGUCUUCCACGUCCGUUAGCAUGGGUUUCGCCAUCUACGAGAGAAUAGAAUAUGAAACCUUUUAGUUUUUCGCAUUAACAAGCCGCACGAUAUGAAUUUCACGAAAGUGGGGUGUUUCCUAAAACUUCUGCAGUCUCAAGGAUAGAUACGGAUGUCUACGUACCGAUCCGCGAGACUCUACUAAAUCGGCUCAUGACUCGCGAGGCCUAGUAACCUAGUCUCUGAUACCAUCUUGUCACGACCCAGCCCCGGUCGUGAUGGCGCCCAACACCUUGUUAGGCAAGCUUAACCAUUUAGACAAUUCCCAGCCAAAUCAUUAACUUAAAUUACCAAGUUUAACCUGACAUUCUCAGUUAAUAUUAACAAAACACUGCGAAAUGAUGCCAAGUUGUGACGACCCAAACCCAGUCGUGAUGGCACCCAACCAUAACGCUAGGCAAGCCUAACCAACAAUCGCUCUCAUUUCGAUAAUAAAUCGCAAACUGAAAAUUUAAGGAGAAUAUAGUAAUUUUAGAAUAUCAACUUCUUUGCCAAUUGAAAGCUCUAGCAAUAUUCAGCAGUUUCUUAUUUUCUACAGGGCCCUUCUCUGAAGAGGCCAUUGGAAAUUGGUAAAGCUGCUCAUGAGCUCUAUUUUCUGCUACCUGACAUGGUUACCCCUUCCCUUACUUCUAAUGUUUCUUAUUCUACUGUUUGUAAUUUUCCUACAGUAAAUGUUAUUCCUAAUUUUCACAGUUCUACUUUUAACCCAUCUAGUACUAUCAAUAAAAUGGAUCUAUUUUGGCAUCAAAGACUAGGCCAUAUACCAUUUCAUAAAGUGGAAUCUAUUCAAUGUUUGUCUACUCAAGUAUCUUCUAAACAAUCAUUUAUAUGUUCUAUUUGUCCUAUGGCUAGACAACAAAGACUACGUUAUCAUAAUAGCCACAUUCUUUCAACUUUACCCUUCCAGUUAGUCCAUAUAGACAUAUGGGGACCUUACCACACUACAAUAUACCAUUGUUUCAGAUAUUUCAUCACUUUGGUAGAUGAUUUUACUAAGGUCGCCUGGACACAUUUAUUAUCCUCCAAAGGUAAUGCCUUGUCUGUUAUCAAAGCUUUCACUAUGAUGGUCAAAGUUCAUUUACAGUCUUCCGUUCAAUCUUUUAGAUUAGACACUGCUUUUUAAUUAGGUAGUAGUUCAGAGGAUAUAUCCUUCUUUGCUGAUAAUGGAAUCUUACACCAAACCACUAUUCCCCGCACACCACAACAAAAUGGGGUGGUCGAAAGAAAACACAAACAUCAUUUAGAAACUUCCAGAGCCCUUUUGUUUCAAUCUAGACUCCCUACCAAGUAUUGGGGUAAAUGUGUAUUAACUGUCGACAUUGUGAACAGACUACCUUCAUCAGUCUUGAAAAACUACAUAGAACUCCUCCAACAUAUGACCACCUGAAAUCAUUUGGUAGCCUUUGUUUUGGAACUACCCCCAAACCUGGGAGAGACAAAUUCCAACCUAGAGAUGUUGCUUGUUCUUUCAUUGGUUACCCUAUUGGGAAAAAGGGAUAUAAGUUGCUCAAUCUCUCUACUCAUUAUGUCUUUUUUUCAGAGAUGUAGUUUUCCAUGAGCAUAUAUUUCCAUAUUCCUCUUCUUCACCUUCUUCUAUUUUCCUCCUCCUUCUACUUCUUUUGAAGAUUCUCCUCUCUUUCUCUCUUCCACUACUCCCUUAUCACCUUCUCCUGAUUCUAGUUUUGUCUCUCCUGAUUCUACUUCUGUGCUACCUACUACACCUCCUUCUGAUCUUUCUCCUUCUUCCUUAAACCAUCAGGAACCACCUCUUAUGCAUGUUUCUUCCUCUACUUCUCCUUCCGUCACUACUUCUGUACCUUCCUCUUCCACCUUACCUACUGUUAGCCAUUCCACUAGGGUCUCUAAUCCUCCCUCCUACUUAUCAGAUUAUAUAUGUUCUUCCUGUCUGCCCUGUUUCUACAAAUUCAAAGAUUUCUACUACUAAGCUACAGAUGCAGGAACCCUAAUAUUAUCAGUAGGCUGCCUCACAUCCUACUUGGAAAGAAGCCAUGCUAAAAGAGUUCCAAGCUCAUAAAUUUAACCAUACUUGGGAUAUUGUUCCUCUCUCUUCUCAGAAGAAACCCAUUCCUUGUAAAUAGGUGUACAAAAUUAAACAGAAGUCUGAUGGCAUUGUAGAAAGAUACAAAGCCAGAUUAGUCAUUAGGGGUGACACACAAAAGGAAGGGAUAGACUACAAUGAGACUUUUUCCCUAGUUGUUAAAUUCACUACUAUUAAGUUCCUACUCUCUCUUGCUGCUAAAAAGGGUGGGCUGUUUAUCAAGUAGAUGUCAACAAUGCUUUUCUUCAUGGUGAUCUCCAUGAAGAAGUUUAUAUGAGGCUACCUCUUGGUCUUGUGAUUUCUGGUCAUCCUUCCUCCUCUUCUCCACUGGUUUGCAAGCUCAAAAAAUCUCGUUAUGGCCUCAAACAAGCCUGAAGACAAUGGUUAUCUAACUUGUAUGAAGCCUUGGUUUCCAGAGGUUAUAUGUCUAGCAAAAAUGAUUAUUCAUUGUUCACUAAGACUUCUGGUAACUCCCUGACUGUCUUGGCAGCAUAUGUCGAUGACAUUCUAUUGGCAGGAGAUGAAACUUCUGAAUUGGAUGCUCUUAAGGCUUUUCUGGAUGCUACUUUCAAAAUAAAAGACUUAGGUUCUGUUCACUACUUCUUGAGUUUGGAAAUUAUACAACAACCCCAAGGUUUCUUGAUGUGCCAGCACAAAUUUACAUCUGAUCUCUUGGAAGAGUUUCACUGUGAUCAUUUCACCCCUGUCAAUACUCCACUUGAUUAUUCCCUCAAACUCUCUUCUUAUAUGGGAGAGCCCCUUUCUGAUCUAAGCAUCUACAGCAGGAUUAUGGGCAAGCUUAAUUUCUUGUGCCAUACAAGGCUAGAUAUUG